CUCUUUUUGAUUUGAUUUGAUUCUCUGCUUGGUCGCUGUUGGUGUAUAGAAGAGCUACUGAUUUGUGUACAUUAAUCUCAUAUCUAGAAACACUGCUAAAUUAUUUUAUCAGUUCUAGGAGCUUUCUGGAGGAGUCCUUAGGGUUUUGAAGGAAGGCCCACCAACGCUGGCCGGCCUCCAAGCACCCGGGCCUCUGCUCAUGUACAGCUCCUGAACUGCCCUGCCUCUGAGUUACUGUGGAAAAUGAGCUUAUAUAUGAAGAAGUCAGCGAGUGGACAAAGCCAGGCGCAAUGGAUAGCAAAGAUGUGGAAGUCUCCUCGAUUCAAGUUACAAGAAAACCGCAGCAUGGAGUCUGCUCUCAGCUGUUGGGGAAUUACCGAUGCCUUUGACUAAGUCAAGACUGACUUUUCCAGAAUAUCACCCAAGAGAUAGAGCCGUCCCUGUCCAAGUUUGUGCGCUAGCCCUUCAUGGAGGUCAGAGAGGAAGAAACAAAGGCAGCUGUGGCCUCGGCGGUCACAGUGUCAGAACGCACAAGCCCCAUAAAGAGGUUUCACGCAGGCCACCCAUCCCUUUUCAUUCUCCAGCAGAACAGGACAGAGAGCGUUCUGUUCUGCGGAAGGUCUUCCACUCUACAAGGCAAUCCCUCCAGCUGCUUUGCUGUAUUGUGCUGUCUCCUGUCACACUAUGAAUGCAGUGACCUCAGCCAGCAACAGGGAGAACCCCCCUGCCUCCCGAACAAAGGACCUCACGUGAAAUCCUGAGCUCAGAGCUUACAGAUAUGUGUGCGCUUUCACUUUACAUCGGCCGUGACUUCCAAACAACUUCAGGAAACUUUAGGAUCUCUGAGGUAUACUGGAGAUGACAGCAGCGUAGAAUGUUCAUUUGGAUUUAGAACAGAAAUGCUUAUUUUAUAUUUGGCUGCUCCCAAACUGUCCCCAGACUUCCUCUCCAGUGGUUACCCUCCACUGCCCUGGAUGUCCCACGUUUACACUCCACACUCACACCUCCACCUUAACAAAGUCCUCCACUGGGUCAAACCAUACAUCGCUUCGUCUCUGUAGUGAUGACUUCCUGUCCUCUGCUCUGUGGAUAAAGACCCCAGAUAAAGAUGCCUGUGUUGCUCAACUCUUGUAAAUACUCUUGAGACAUUUUGAAAGCAGAAGGAAAGGAGACAGACGGGGAAAAUAAAAGGGAUGGUCUGCUUGUGCGGAAACGUUUUGAGAAUGCCCUUCCCUAAGAGAGAACAGUAAAAGUGAGCAAUACUUCCUGAGCUGUGGGUUCAUAUGGCUGGACUGUGCUGUUUCUCACGGGAGAAGUUCUCGUCUCCCCUGCGUGUACAUCCCUGUUUGCCAGCCUGGCCUUCGGUGUGGUGAUAUCAUGGUGCACUCCCAGGAGGGAAGUGCUUGGUCAAGACUUCUGCUUGGGUUCGACUAUCAGUUCUGGUUUCCUUUAAGGCACAGGAUCUUCCCUUUAAGGCACAAACACCCCCUUGACACAAAGUAAGGGACAAGGGAACUUUAAACCAUUUGGAAACCCAAGCACAAUAGGCUGUAGGUUGUAAAAAGAAAUUACAAAGGUAAUUUUAUCCAGAAGAGGGAGCAGUUUAACUUCUGCAGGGUAAGAUUCAGAUUCACUUUUGUAACUGAACAGGGAAUUUUCUAAAUAUUUUGAAAAUGCCGAAACAUUUCCUGUUGGCAUUUCACAGAAACGUUCAAAGUUCCCUAAUGAUAGUUUCCGCUGUGCUCACUCCGGAGGCUGCUAAGCAACCUCAGUAAUUAGCUCGAUUGAGGAAACGAAACUGUGGGGGACUCAGUUUCCAUGAUAGGGAAACCAGGCAAGAAAUAUUGUCUCCUCAAGUUGCGACGAGACAGUAGUUCUUGCCUGGUUUCUCUAUCAUGGAGUCUUGGUUGGACUCUGCUAUGCGUCUCUUGAUGAAAUGUGAUACUAGCAAUUGAACAAUUAAGAAAAUGGAUGGCGGGGGGUGGAGCGGUUUGUCACUACUGGAGUUGCAGAGGCUCAGUGGGGGAACCUGAGAAACACUGCGUCCCCCAGGUCAUCACCGCGUCAGCACUGAUGAGUCAUGUUGAUGGCAUGGACCCUGAAUAUGACACAAUGAGAUGUCACUUUACCUCUGUGGCCUUUCCCAGAAAAAACCAUAACCCCAGUCUAACCAUGAGAAAAAUAUAAGACAAUGGUGCAGGCAGGGCAUUUCAGGAGAGGGUCAGGUAAAGGGGAGGGGG
rnacentral:lncRNA from 1 species